CUUUUGCCCUCAAGAGUCUUUGGGAGGCUCAGGAAGGGACUGGUGAGUGACCUCAGCAGCCCACCAGCAGGUAGCCAAGGGUCGCCCUCUCUUCAGCCCCUGAUGCCUCUUCCAGAAAAAACAAACCACAAAGCCAGCUGAAGAAAGUGGGGGGAAGAGAGGUGGCUGAGUUCCUCAGUGUGGCUGGCUUUGGAAGAGCAAACACUUCAUUUGUUUUCUAAAUAUGAACUUAUUAUAAAGAUGUCCUUCCUUAAAAGACAUCUGAGAUGCCAAAGUUGGUCCAGGGUGUCUGGAGACAGUGGCCACAUAGGAAGUCUGAAAUGAUGAGGUCUCCAGAAGAAGGUGUGUGCAACCAUACCUUUAAUCCCAGAUGACCUUGAACUCAGAGAUCUCCUUAUCUUAAUCUUCUGGAAUUCAUAGCCACUAUACCUCAAGAUCUCCAUGCCAAGAUCCAGGUCAGAAACUUGUAUCUCCCAGCCUCCAGAUUAGGAUCACAGGUUUCUGUUGCUGAGAUGAAACGCCAUGACCAAGAAGCAAGUUGAGGAGGAAAGGGUUUAUUCAGCUUACACUUCCAUACUGCUGUUCAUCACCAAAAGAGGUCAGGACUGGAGCUCCACCCAGGGCAGGAACCUGGAGGCAGGAGCUGAUGCAGAGGCCAUGGAGGGGCAUUGUUGACUGGCUUGCUCUUCAAGCAUGGGGCCUGCUGGGACUCGUCUCCUGCUAUGCUUCAGCUCCUGCCCAAUCACUUACCUGUGCCAGGAGAAGCCUCUGGACAUGCCUGGGCAGCCUCUGGACAUGCACUGCUCCCAUUCCUCGCUGAGAGGGCAUCUCCCCGAGUGCCUCUCCAUCCCAGUAGACUCUCCAGAUGUGCCCAGUCCUCAACUGGUGUGGCCUCACCAGAGAGACUCAGACCAAACAGGCCUCCACAGCCUCUCUCUAGACACUUUCUGGGAAACCACAGUGGAAUACAAAAGGUCCUCAUUUGCCCUGAACCCUGGGAAGCCCUGUGGCAUUGGUUCAUGAGUGCUGUGGUUGGUUAUUUGGAACUUAAUUCUCUUGGUAUUUGCCACUUCCCAGUUGUCCCCUUUACUGUUCACAGUCCCCACCUAUAAUCCUCGGCUUCCUGGCACUUCCGGAGCCCAUAUUAACGUACCAAUUUUUUGUACCCCAUUUAGGGCACCAACUGUUCUGAUCUCUUGAAGAGCUCCUCAGGCAACCUUCUGUUUCUAGCAAGAUGAUACACCCAAGCCUUGAUGACAAGGCUUGGCUCUCAACCUCCUUGCUCCCCACCUCCUGUGAAAUACACAAAGAAAUUCAGUGAUCAUCGGGGAUGCUCUGGUCCAAACACUACCUGCCAGCCAGACGCAGGAGAUGGAUGGCUCAGCAGUAAUCGUGCUGCUUGAGCUUGGUGUCUAAUGGGGACAGUAGUGACAGGAAGUUCACAGGGACUGGAAGACAUGAGUUCUCUGAGGGAAAGGAAGGUGAAGCCUGGUGCUUAGGACCCUCAGGAGACCAUAGGAUGUGAGAAGGCUCAAGACACCCAGAGGUGGGGUCAGAAACAGGGCAAAGGAGACCAAGCAUGGGAGAGCUGCAGUGGACGUGUACAGACAGGAGAAGCAGGCCCUAAAGAAUCCCUGAGGCGGCAGAGAGGCUGGGCUGUGGAACUUUUUAAUUACUUUGCAUUAGGGGACUGUAGAGACCCAGAAGCCCACCCUUCCCCUCCCCUCAUCAGCUUAGCCCCAACAUAUGGUGGCUACCAAAGUAGUUAAAUCGGCUCUUGGUAGAAAAGGAAAGAGAUUCCUCCCAGGCUCUUCCCAGGGUCCACGGCCACACUCCAGGAGGGCUCAACUCCAGGGCAAGGCAGCUGGGACAGCAGGCAGCUGAAGGAGGACUAUUACUGCACCUUAGGGAAGAGUGCAGUGGCGAGUGGGGAGGACUCUGCUGGGACCCGGGGGUCAUGUGCAUUCCCAUUUAGUUGAGCUCUGCUUAAUCCGGGCCUAGGCUCACAGUAAUGGGGAACGAGGAGAGGCUCCCAUCAGAGACCAAGAAGAUGACAGACUCUCUGUAAAGGCUGUCAGAGGGGUCUGCAUGACCAACCACACCUGCUCCUGUUCCUUUGGGGCUCUUGUGACCUCCCUGUCUUCUUGUGAGAUCUUAUGUUCCUCCAACCCUGAGAGCUACAAACCAAUCUCCGGAAUAAAAAAAUCUGUCCCUCGUG
rnacentral:lncRNA from 1 species